UCAGAUACAAGUUAGCCUUUGACUGCAAUCUGAUCCGGUAAGUUAUGAUGCAGUCUAAGAUAGAAGCGCACUGACCUGGAAGGGGUAAUGAAGUUAUUAGUAAUCUAUUG